rnacentral:rRNA from 1 species
GACGAACGCUGGCGGCGUGCCUAAUACAUGCAAGUCGAACGCGGUGGGGACGGGUGAGUAACACGUGGGUAACCUCCCAUCAGAGGGGAUAACACUUGGAAACAGGUGCUAAACCGAUACUGAUGGAUGGACCCGCGGUGCAUUAGCUAGUUGGUGAGGUAACGGCUCACCAAGGCCACGAUGCAUAGGCGACCUGGGGGGGGGAUCGGGCAAAACGUGAAUGAGAAACGGCCCAGACUCCGUCGGGAGGAAGCAGGAGGGAAUCUUCGGCAAUGGGGGGAAACCUGACUGAGCAACGCCGGGUUGUUGAAGAAGGUUUUCGGAUGGUAAAGCUCUGUUGUGAAGGAAGCGGUACUUACCCAGAAAGGGACGGCUAACUACGUGCCAGCAGCCGCGGUAAUAC